rnacentral:lncRNA from 1 species
UACCGAGGCAGUGUACCAGGAAAAAAAGAGGAAUGGAUGCAGAGUAUCCUAGCAACUUCCAAAGGGACAAUGGGUGGGCGUUACGGCAUUGAUGACAUUAUGAGUCAUCUCACUGACUCUUGUGAGCCCAGAGAGAUCCAAUGCAGGGUGCCUCACUCCAUGCUCAAGUCACAGAUGUACCCGCCUUCAUCUGACUGAUACAGGCUAGAGCCAAUAUUCAAGGCCUGGUCAUUUUCCUCGCAAGGUGCCCAUUUCCUCUCAUGCCGUGCUUCCCUAACAGGAGGCUCCAGAGAGGCACCAACAGGACACCUGGGCUUCUUGCUGAUUAAUCUCGCAGUGUUAAACACUUCUGCGGAAUAAAACAAUGAUGUCAACAAACAAAAUGGAGAAUAUCUUGUAAGACCACUUUGUCCAACUGCACUGAAACAAGAGGGGUGAAGAGGCCCUGGAGCUGAAAUUUCAAACGUGAAGCUUGCUUAGCUUGCCUCGCCCAUGGCAUAAUAAUGUAGUGGCUUAAAUCUACCAACAGAUGAAGAAUCCGGCAACUCUGUCUUGUUUUCUGGUUUACUUUGAUAUGGCCCAGUGGUUCUCAGUGGGAGUGCUACUGCCCCCUAGGGGUGGCUAGAAAAUUUGUGGGGUGUGUUUCGGUUGUCACAAGAGGAGGGGGUGGCACUACUGGCAUUUAGGAGGCCCAAGCAUUGACAGUAGACAUCCUAUUAUGUCUGAGACCAAUGCGUACGACAAAGCAUUAUUCCACAUCCUGUUUAUGAUCAUUUGCACCUAGAAUCGACUUUGAAUUACAUGGAAAUUCAGUUAUCUUUGCAUUUGAUUUUAAUGCAUUUAAUUUUCCAGGAAUUCAACAACUGUGCACAGGAGAGAAGACUGUAUUUUUGGUUUGGAACACUGUCAAAAGGUGUUCACUAUUUUGGAAAAUGGCAGUGCCUGACAUCCCUGACAGAAGCGCUUCUCAUGGUGGUGUAGCCACAUGACACUUCUGUAUUAGCCUGGACUUACAGCUGUGGCUUUCAGUAGUGAUUCUACUUACAGUAAAAGGUAGGCUCUCUGUCUGUUGUGUGGACUAGCACAUCCCAAGCACCUACACAGGACCUGGAACAUAGAGGGCACCUGAGGUGGAAGAGUGGAAAUGGACUUGGGCUAAUUGCACAGCUGUGCAUAUGCCAUGCUCCCAAAAGCUGCACACCUGAGUAACAUAGAAUCUUGAGCUGUCUGGGUGAAAGACAUCAGUGAAUUCCAGGCCAGUAACAUCCCAGAGCUCUGGACCCCAACACCACCUCCUCCUCUAAAUAGCUUCUCAAUGUCACCUGAAGAGUCACAGGAGAGAACAGCAGUGUUUUAUCAUCAUUCGGUGGCUGGCUCUGUAAACUCUUUCUCUCUCUUAAUGAGUGAAGGCCAAAGGAAGGGAAGCUGGUGGAAGAG